AAUACUAAGAGUUUGAUCCUAGCUCAGGGUGAACGCUGGCGAUGUGGAUAAGGCAUGCAAGUCGAGUGGGUUUAGACCCACGGCGAACGAGGCAGUAGCAAGUAGGUAACCUACACUGAAGUCGGGCAUAACCUUUUGAAAGAAAGGAUAAUUCCCGAUAGUCUCUUUGGAGUAAAGAUUUAUCGCUUCAGGAUGGGCCUGCUCAAUAUCAGCUUGUUGGUGAGGUAAUGGCUUACCAAGGCUAUGACGUUUAGGGGAGGUGAGAACCUGACCCCCGCCGAUGGCACUGAGACACGGGCCAUACUCCUACGGGAGGCCGCAGUCGAGAAUCUUCCGCAAUGGGCGAAAGCCUGACGGAGCGACAUCGCGUGAUUGAAGAAGCACUUCGGUGUGUAAAAAUCUUUUGUAAGGGAAGAAGUUUAUUGACGGUACCUUACGAAUAAGGGGCGCCUAAUUCUGUGCCAGCAGGCGCGGUAAUACAGAAGCCCCAAGCGUUACCCGGAAUCACUGGGCGUAAAGGGUGCGUAGGCGGUUAUAUUAGUUUGCUGUUAAAUCAUUCGGCCCAACCGAAUGUCCGCAGUGAAAACGGUAUAACUUGGGGAUGCGAGAGGUAUGUGGAACUCAUAGUGUAGGGGUGGAAUCCGUUGAUAUUAUGAGGAACACCAAAAGCGAAAGCAACAUACUAGCGCAAUCCCGACGCUGAGUGCACGAAAGCGUGGGUAUCGAAUGGGAUUAGAUACCCCAGUAGUCCACGCUGUAAACGAUGUUCACUGGCUUAUUGAGGAAUCGACCCCUUGAGAGGCGAAGCUAACGCGUUAAGUGAACCGCCUGGGUAGUACGAGCGCAAGCUUGAAACUCAAAGGAAUAGACGGGGACUCGCACAAGCGGUGCACCGUGUGGCUUAAUUCGAUGCUAAUCGAAAAACCUUACCAAGACUAGUACCUACACGACGAUAUCCUGAAAGGGAUAUUUCCUUCGGGCGGGUAGGCAGGUGAUGCAUGGUCGUCGUCAGCUCGUGGCUUGAGCUGUUCCCUUAAGUGGGUUAACGAGCGCAACCCUCGUUGUCUGUUAUAUAUGUCAGGCGAGACUGCCCCCUCACGGGGGAGGAAGGAGAGGAUGACGCCAGAUCAGCAUGUCCCUUGAUGUCUUGGGCUGCUCACGCGGUUCAAUGGUUGUUACAGCGGGAUGCCAAAGCGCAAGCUGGAGCCAAUCCCUAUAAAACAAUCUCAGUCCGGAUUGAGGUCUGCAAUUCGACCUCAUGAAGCUGGAAUCGCUAGUAAUCGCGGAUCAUCAUGCCGCGGUGAAUACGUUCUCGAGUCUUGUACUCACCGCCCGCCAAGUCAGGGAAGCUGGGAGCACCCGACGCCCCAUUUUAUGGGUCUAAGGUGAAUUCAGUAACAAGGGCUAAGGCGUAACAAGGCACGGGUAGCGGAAGCUGUUCGUGGAACAUAUCCUGA
rnacentral:rRNA from 1 species